AAUAGAUACCCAGGUAGUCCACGCCGUAAACGAUGGAUACUAGCUGUUUGAGCGCAAGUUUGAGUGGCUAAGCGAAAGUGAUAAGUAUCCCACCUGGGGAGUACGGGCGCAAGCCUGAAACUCAAAGGAAUUGACGGGGGCCCGCACAAGCGGUGGAGCAUGUGGUUUAAUUCGAUGAUACGCGAGGAACCUUACCAGGGCUUAAAUGUAGAUUGACGUAUUUGGAAACAGAUAUUUCUUCGGACAGUUUACAAGGUGCUGCAUGGUUGUCGUCAGCUCGUGCCGUGAGGUGUCAGGUUAAGUCCUAUAACGAGCGCAACCCCUGUUGUUAGUUGCCAGCGAGUAAUGUCGGGAACUCUAGCAAGACUGCCAGUGUAAACUGUGAGGAAGUGGGGAUGACGUCAAAUCAUCACGGCCCUUACGUCCUGGGCCACACACGUGCUACAAUGGCCGGUACAGAGAGCAGCCACUUAGCGAUAAGGAGCGAAUCUAUAAAGCCGGUCACAGUUCGGAUCGGAGUCUG
rnacentral:rRNA from 1 species